rnacentral:rRNA from 1 species
GUGCCAGCCGCCGCGGUAAUACGAAGGGUGCAAGCGUUACUCGGAAUUACUGGGCGUAAAGCGUGCGUAGGUGGUUUGUUAAGUCUGAUGUGAAAGCCCUGGGCUCAACCUGGGAAUUGCAUUGGAUACUGGCAGGCUAGAGUGCGGUAGAGGGUAGUGGAAUUCCCGGUGUAGCAGUGAAAUGCGUAGAGAUCGGGAGGAACAUCCGUGGCGAAGGCGACUACCUGGACCAGCACUGACACUGAGGCACGAAAGCAUGGGGAGCAAACAGGAUUAGAUACCCCUGUAGUCC